GAUGAACGCUGGCGGCGUGCCUAAUACAUGCAAGUCGAGCGAACAGACGAGGAGCUUGCUCCUCUGACGUUAGCGGCGGACGGGUGAGUAACACGUGGAUAACCUACCUAUAAGACUGGGAUAACUUCGGGAAACCGGAGCUAAUACCGGAUAAUAUAUUGAACCGCAUGGUUCAAUAGUGAAAGACGGUUUUGCUGUCACUUAUGGAUGGAUCCGCGCCGCAUUAGAUAGUUGGUAAGGUAACGGCUUACCAAGGCAACGAUGCGUAGCCGACCUGAGAGGGUGAUCGGCCACACUGGAACUGAGACACGGUCCAGACUCCUACGGGAGGCAGCAGUAGGGAAUCUUCCGCAAUGGGCGAAAGCCUGACGGAGCAACGCCGCGUGAGUGAUGAAGGUCUUCGGAUCGUAAAACUCUGUUAUUAGGGAAGAACAAAUGUGUAAGUAACUAUGCACGUCUUGACGGUACCUAAUCAGAAAGCCACGGCUAACUACGU
rnacentral:rRNA from 1 species